CCUACGGGGGGCUGCAGUGGGGAAUAUUGGACAAUGGGGGCAACCCUGAUCCAGCCAUGCCGCGUGUGUGAAGAAGGCCCUCGGGUUGUAAAGCACUUUCAGUGAGGAAGAACGCCUGGUGGUUAAUACCCAUCAGGAAAGACAUCACUCACAGAAGAAGCACCGGCUAACUCCGUGCCAGCAGCCGCGGUAAUACGGAGGGUGCGAGCGUUAAUCGGAAUUACUGGGCGUAAAGCGCGCGUAGGUGGCUUGAUAAGCCGGUUGUGAAAGCCCCGGGCUCAACCUGGGAACGGCAUCCGGAACUGGCAGGCUAGAGUGCAGGAGAGGAAGGUAGAAUUCCCGGUGUAGCGGUGAAAUGCGUAGAGAUCGGGAGGAAUACCAGUGGCGAAGGCGGCCUUCUGGACUGACACUGACACUGAGGUGCGAAAGCGUGGGUAGCAAACAGGAUUAGAUACCCUGGUAGUC
rnacentral:rRNA from 1 species